UGCCUAACACAUGCAAGUCGAACGCUCCAGCAAUGGAGAGUGGCAGACGGGUGAGUAUCGCGUGGGAACCACCCUUUGGUUCGGAAUAGCCCAGGGAAACUUGGGGUACUACCGGAUAAGCCCUUCGGGGGAAAGAUUUAUCGCCAAUGGAUGGGCCCGCGUCGGAUUAGCUAGUUGGUGGGGUAACCUCGCACCAACGCGACUAUUCGUUGCUGGUCUGAAUAGGAAGAAAAGAAAAUAAGAGACUGACGUUUAAGACUUUUUAUUCUCACCGUAACUCCCCACAAUAUUAUAUACUAUAUUUUUGUUGACAAAGCAAAAUGGACUAAGGCUACAAUAAUUGUAAAUUCAAUCUGGAUAUUACAUUCAAUGUGAAAUUACCUAUCUAUCGUUGCAUACUUAAGCUGUAGGAGAACAGGGCAGAAAGAAAUCAUACCCUAUGAAUCUCGCCUUUUAUAAAUACUUUUAUCUAGUAUACUAAAGAUUAUCUCAUCUAAUUGUCACACUACUACACUUCCACUAUUUGAAGUGUGUUUCUUGUAUGAUAAGAAUAAGAGGAGACUAAGGGACACAAAAUGUAAUACUAGCUAUUAGCUUCGUCAGCUUAUAACUUAUCAGUUUAUAGGUAUCAAUUGCAAUAUAUGCAUUCACUACUGUUCCUACACAUAAUCCUCAAUACAAUGUUUGUAAGAGAGGUAGAGCGUACAACUCUGUGCCCCUCUCCUCUAUCUAACUUAGCCACCC
rnacentral:misc_RNA from 1 species